rnacentral:rRNA from 1 species
UACGAAGGGUGCAAACGUUGCUCGGAAUUAUUGGGCGUAAAGAGCUCGUAGGCGGCUUGUCACGUCGAUUGUGAAAGCUCGGGGCUUAACCCCGAGUCUGCAGUCGAUACGGGCUAGCUAGAGUGUGGUAGGGGAGAUCGGAAUUCCUGGUGUAGCGGUGAAAUGCGCAGAUAUCAGGAGGAACACCGGUGGCGAAGGCGGAUCUCUGGGCCAUUACUGACGCUGAGACGCGAAAGCGUGGGGAGCAAACAGG